AUCGCUUCUCGGCCUUUUGGCUAAGAUCAAGUGUAGUAUCUGUUCUUAUCAGUUUAAUAUCUGAUAUGUCCUCUAUAUGAGGACAACAUAUUAAGCCGAUUUUUGGCAGCGGGAGUUGAAAAAGGAGCUAGCUCCGUUCACUCCAAGCAUCGCCCUGGUACUGCAGUGCCGCCGGGAAUGGUGCACGCUUC